AUUGAACGCUGGCGGCAGGCCUAACACAUGCAAGUCGAGCGGAGCGGCGGACGGGUGAGUAAUGCCUAGCAAUCUGCCUGGUAGUGGGGGAUAACGUCCGUAAACGGGCGCUAAUACCGCAUACUAUCAGAUUAGCCUAGGUCGGAUUAGCGAGUUGGUGGGGUAAAGGCCUACCAAGGCGACGAUCCGUAACUGGUCUGAGAGGAUGAUCAGUCACACUGGAAAUGGGAAACGGUCCAGACUCCUACGGGAGGCAGCAGUGGGGAAUAUUGGACAAUGGGCGAAAGCCUGAUCCAGCCAGGCCGCGUGUGGGAAGAAGGUCUUCGGAUUGUAAAGCACUUUAAGUUGGGAGGCGUUACAAACAGAAUAAGCACCGGAUAACUUCGUGCCAGCCGCCGCGGUAAUUC
rnacentral:rRNA from 1 species